rnacentral:lncRNA from 1 species
CACCUACAAUAUGUGUUUUCAAGGUUUAAGUGAGAAGAUUUUCAGACUAUCGUAGGUGCAAAUUGGAUAUCCUUCUCUAAGGCAAAUAUUUGAAGAUAGUAUAUACGUUAUUGCAUUUAUGACUUUUGAGUUACAUUGUUGCAGAUAAAUAGUUUAUAAUGCCAUCUUCCAGACUCAUCAUUAGGCCAUCAUCUCCCGGAAUAAAUUUAUUCCACCUACAAUAUGUGUCUUCAAGGUUAACUGAGAAGAUUUUCAGACUAUCGUAGGUCCAAAUUGGAUAUCCUUCUCUAAGGCAAAUAUUUGAAAAUAUGCCGACAUUGUUACCAACAUCCAGAGACGG